GGGUGACCUCAGAUCAGGUAGGGA
rnacentral:rRNA from 2 species